GUAGGACUCAACCACACACAGGGUCACAUGCUGUUCUGUUGUUCAGUACUAUACACACACCCUGCAGCCUCCUCUGCUGAACCGACCGUUGACAUCUGGCUAAGUGGCUGUAGAUAGUGUUCUGAUUGGAGGAGGCUGUAGAUAGUGUUCUGAUGGGAGGAGGCUGUAGAUAGUGUUCUGAUUGGAGGAGGCUGUAGAUAGUGUUCUGAUGGGAGGAGGCUGUAGAUAGUGUUCUGAUGGGAGGAGGCUGUAGAUAGUGUUCUGAUGGGAGGAGGCUGUAGAUAGUGUUCUGAUUGGAGGAGGCUGUAGAUAGUGUUCUGAUGGGAGGAGGCUGUAGAUAGUGUUCUGAUUGGAGGAGGCUGGUGGCUGUAGAUAGUGUUCUGAUGGGAGGUGGCUGUAGAUAGUGUUCUGAUGGGAGGAGGCUGUAGAUAGUGUUCUGAUUGGAGGAGGCUGUAGAUAGUGUUCUGAUGGGAGGAGGCUGUAGAUAGUGUUCUGAUGGGAGGAGGCUGUAGAUAGUGUUCUGAUGGGAGGAGGCUGUAGAUAGUGUUCUGAUUGGAGGAGGCUGUAGAUAGUGUUCUGAUGGGAGGUGGCUGGUGGCUGUAGAUAGUGUUCUGAUUGGAGGC
ensembl:lncRNA